rnacentral:rRNA from 1 species
UACGGAGGGUGCGAGCGUUAAUCGGAAUUACUGGGCGUAAAGCGCACGCAGGCGGGCUGUUAAGUCAGAUGUGAAAUCCCCGGGCUUAACCUGGGAACAGCAUUUAAGACUGGCAGGCUUGAGUCUUGUAGAGGGGGGUAGAAUUCAAGGUGUAGCGGUGAAAUGCGUAGAGAUCUGGAGGAAUACCGGUGGCGAAGGAGGCCCCAUGGACAAAGACUGACGCUCAUGUGCGAAAGCGUGGGGAGCAAACAGG